GAAACCAUCUUAUUUUGCCCGUUCAGAGCAAAUUGAGACCAAACAAAUUCCGAAAAAAAUAAAAUAAAACCAAACAUACAUUACUUAAAGGUUAUAAAGGGGCAUAUUAACUCAUUGUUGUACUUAAGGGACAUUUAAUAAUUAUUAAAAUUUUAGAAAGGUUUUUUUACAACUCUAUAAGUGAUAAAAAAAAUUAAUUGAAGUAAGGAGAACAUGAGCUUUAUAAAUUAAUUAAAAAGUGAUAGAAUCUACCCAAAAAAAAAAGUGAUAGAAUCAUAUUCUAUUUGAUACAUGCAAAAGAUGGAAAAUAUGGUUAAAAUUGUCAAGUUUAUUUUUUUUAUGAUCAUCAUUCUUUCCCCAUUUGUUGUUGCAACAAACCUUGAUGUAAUACUUCCAUGUGUUGAAGACGAUGAUUGUCCAUACGAUGCCCAACUGUGCCCACCUCCUGGUCAAAUUAUGUGUAUUAAAAGUAUUUGUUCGUGUCGUAAUUCGAUCCAUUGAUUAUAAGUGGCAGAUCCAAGAGAAUACACAAACGAACUGUGAGAAUUUUUCAUAAGUUGUUAUAUGGUUAUUGUGGUGGCACCCGAAUUUAAUUUUCUUUAGCUUUUAAAAUUUCAUGGAACUUGUUGGUUUUGUACUUUAAGAUGAUACAAUUAAAAUGAAAUAAAGCAUCAAAUAAUAUGAUCUUUAUUUGUCUUGAUAAUAA